GAAGUUGGGCAUCGUGUGGGGCUGGAAGCUGUGGCUGCAGGAAGCCAGGGGUGAUGGCCUUCCUGCAGCCGUCUCUCGAGCCCCGAACUUGCGGGAAGAAAGGACUGCCCCCUUCCAACCCGUUCGGGUUGGUUUGCGCUGGAACGCCACGCUUUUCAAAGUGUCUGAGUGAUAGGUACUUUCUAAAUAUGUACAGCGAUGGCCUGAUAAGCAACUAAGCGUCUGGCUUCGCGGGUUCAUGCCCGAGGCUGUGCGGUCGGGGGAGGCUGGGGGCUCAGCCGAAACCUCAGCUCCUCCUUACAGGCCUGGUUUGGAAACGGGCUGUACACUGCUGGGGGCCCCACUUUCCAAUGUUUACUUCUGAGAUUGGAAGAAGAAGACAAGAAACACCUCCUCACCCCCUACCCUCUGCCUCCACGCCCGCGACUCAGCCCAGGUGACCCAAACGGCAGAGUCAACUUGGCGCAACCGGAGCGUCCCCAUCGCGCCGGCCACCCCCAGCCCCCUUCGCCCCUCGCUUGGCCCCACAAUGCGCCGUUGUGCCGCGCCUGCCGUCAGGCCGGGGAUUUGGAGCAGGGAUGGGGGGAAUAUUCGUCAGAUAUUUAAAACAGAGCCGAGAGAACAAAGCAGGCCUUUGUGCAGCAGGGCGGCCCGGGAGCUGGGAGCCGCCGGCCCCCAAGCACUGUGCUGGGCCAGGAGAGUGCGCAUGCGCGCGGCGACCUGUGCGCUCGGGUUCUGUGCCGGCUUUUACCCCAGCUGAAUAACCUGGUGGUCACAAGAAAGCAAAGGGAUUUUUAUGUGACAUCAUCUUGGCAAGAAGCUCCCUUACCAACCUUGACCUCCAGGUCUCCAUGGCAACUGCUGCUGGGACAUCAUUGGCACCAGAUUGUGUCCCUUAAAGGCCACACUGCAGCAAGGGCAGAUAAACAAUUUCAUGGCAACAGUCACGUAGCAAUCUCAUUCUUAAAUGUGGGCUGGUUAGUUAGGAUGAUGUAAGUGGUUUUUUCCACUCUCUUCCGCAUUCUGACUCCAGAAUUCUGGGCCUAGGACAUAGUCAAAGAAUGUACCUUGGGGUAUGAGACGAAACCAAGAGCUAAUCAUCCUGAGUAUGAGAUGUGUUCUCUGGUGAGAUGCCUGGACCUCCACAGGGGAGGUUGUUCUCUUGAGAAAAUGCCGACUUCCCCUCGUCUUUCAGAGGCCCCCUUCCUGACCAAAAGGCUCAAGGUGCGUGUUGGAGAGGGAAGGGAAAGAAGAUGCUUGUUGCUGUUCAUUACGGACAGGUUCCCCAAGAGUGACACCGUACUGUGGACUCAGCUUCAGGAGGAGAGAGACCAUGCCUGCAGGAAUCAAAAUGAAUCAGCACCAAUCCUGACCCAAGAUGAUAUGGGUUGACUGAAUCAGUUGUUCCUCAUCAAGUAUACUGGAAGUCAGAAUGGCUCCUCCUCCAUGAUGCCCCUGUACUUAGAGCAUCUGGCGUCUGUGAAGGGUCUAAUCCCAAGUGAGGAUUCUGCUCCUGAGACAGCCAGGACCAGACGAUUGCCAAGGUCCCUCCAGCCUAAAGGCAGUGACUCUAGAACAGAUGGGGCUGGAUGGUAACAGGGUAACUGGAGCUCAGGAAUGGAGGCCAGGUUAGAGGCAUGCUUGCCCAGUCAUUCCAGGUGCCCAGGUUCCAGGCUUAUCCCUCUUUAGGAGAGAAGUAAAGACAUGAAGAGGAACCCUCUGUGGGCCUGUGCUGACCCAUCUGCCACCCCCAACCAGAGGCAUGAGUGACAUGGGAAAGGGGAGUGGCGUUGGGGCUGCUUGGCCUGCCUCCUGCACCCCAAAGCUCUGGGUUCAAUUACACUCAUUGUCACUGUGCACAGAACCCACGUCACCACUGAGGAGAUCAGCUGGGCCCUGGCUGCUGACAGCUUGUUUUAUUCUUGCUAAGCCACUACAUCUUGGCUUUGUUGUUAUGUUUCCAAUAGCAACAGGAGAAAAGACAACUUUUUCUGCUUUGGGAGCUUAUUUUUUUCUCCCGUAGGAGAAAGCUCCAGCCUGAAGACUUGAUGUCCUUGGGGCCCCAAUGUGGCCUUAGCCCAGACCCUGGGGGCCAGUAAGGAGAAGUCCAGCUUAGCUCUGCCCCAGGGAAACAGCGGGUAGCUGAAGUCAUGGAGGAUCCAGGAGCCAGGAGCUAUCAACUCUUCUGGAAUUGGGCUCAGCUGCCCUUUUUAGUUUUGAAUGGCUACAAAAUAUCCACAGUGGCUUGGGUAGGCCUAAAGCAUAGACAGUGGAGAAAGGAAAAGGAGAGAAAAAAGGAACUUAAGAGUAGAGGAGAAAGGAGUGGGAGAGAAUGGCAAGAGAAGAAAGGUGGCUGUGGAGAAGUGCAGUGACACCAUCAGCACCCUUGGGCAUCACUUGGCAUUUGAAGCCAAAGAGGAUGACCCCACAGGCCUGGAUGAAAAAUAUAGAGGUUCUCUCUGGCAAGGGGCUUUUGCUUUCCAUUGAGAAGGAGCUGCCAUCAUGAAUGGAUGGAUGGAUGCAUGGACAGGUGGGUGGAUGGAUGAAUGAAACAAUAAGCGUGGUAUUCCCAGGAUUGAAUGAAUGAUAAAGGAAGGAAAAAUAAGUGAGAAGUGAGAGAAUCCAAUGAGGGGUUAAGCCAUCUUAGGCAGGGAUUGCCAAGGAGUGGUUUGGGAGGGCCUUGCCCCGUCCCCUCCAGUCUCCAUUGGCUUCCCCUAAAGUCUUUCUAAGUAAAUAAACAUGCAAUCUAAGUGGAAAAAUAGAGUGUUUACUAUACAAAACAGCCUGAUGAAAACCCCCUGGCUCCUGUAUCAGCCAAUAUUCCAUCCAUAGGUUCUCCUUUACAGAAACUCCCGAGCUGCCACUCAUCAACUACAAGGCAUUGUGUCUGCUUUUUCCAAAUCCCAUCCCAGACCAAUUGUAUUCAGGCUGUGGACAGACAGGUGAGGACCUGAAACAUGAUUAAAGGAUAUAGGGAAAAUAAACUUUAGAUUCACUUGAGAAUAGGAAGAGUUAAAGGGCCUUAAGCCUUUCAGUCACUCCUACUUAGGGAUUUGGGGUAUUAAUUAACAAUAGCAAAUCAUUGGGUAGAUUGUCUCUGCUCUCCCUUCAGUAAAAAAUGUCAGGUAUAGGCAUUUCUUCCUAUGCCCAGUAGGAAUAGUUCACUGGGGCCAGGAUCAAGGGUUAGGGGUCAAAGGACUAUACUCUCUAAGCCUUGAACCAAUAAUGUGAGCAGCUAGUGCAGAAGUGAGCAAGGCUCUUCUUUCAUGGAAGGUUCUUAUCAGAAACCAGAGCUGUCUGGAGGGACACAGUGAGUCAGAUUACAACAGCUACCCAUGGUGGGGACAGGUCAGAAGGGGUCACGCAGAGGCUGUAGGGAAGGUUGCUAUUCUUAGGCCCCUACUAUCUCAGGCGUCUGCUGACUCACUUGGGAAUCUCUGGACUCCUGGGUAGAUCCAGUCCAAUAACCUGCCUAGUUCUUGGGUAAGCCUGUAUUGCCUUUAAUGAUAAUAAAUAACAAGAAAAUAUAGACUUUUUCUCUAAAAGAAAGAUGCAAUAUCAUGUUUAAGCCUAUGCAAGAGGAAGGGUAAGGAGGUCUGAUUCCCAGAGAAGCAUCAAUCUUACCUCAGAUCUUGGAAAGACUCCUGGAAGGAAAGGGAGAGAGAGAGAGGCUAACCCCGGGGUAGUGGCCCUGGAGGCUUUGGUACUGAGUCACAACAUGGGUAGGGGAAAGGUACAUUAUAUUUGGGGCAAGGAUCAAGUGAAAGUCUAGGAAAAACAUCAACCUUGGAGACUGAAUAGGCUUGCCACAUUAGAAGCCUCAAAAGGGGACUUAAGUGUCCCUUUGAUUAAGGAGAAGACAGAAAAGGUGCACUAUGCAGAAAAUAACCUCCUCAGGAAGGCAAGUACGUUUAAUGGGUUUUCACAGAAAGGUGGGAGACCAUUUCAUUUUCCCUUUCUUAGGACAGGGAUCUGGGGAUGUUUGCCUGAGAGGUUAUAUGUUCGUUGUGGCCUAAUGUCUUUCAGAGUAGACUGUCACCAACUCUUUGACUCCUCCUGCUCAUGGAUUCCUUCCACCAUACCUUUGGUUUCCAUUUCUAAAUGUGCUUCAGCCUGGGGGAGGCUGCAGUAAAUGACUCUGUCUAACUUGCUUCCUUGACCUUAGGACUAACCUUUUAAAACUCAUGACUUUUCCUUCUUUAUUUAAAAUCUCUAUCUUUUAACUUUUUUUUUUCUUUUUUUUUUUGAGAUGGAGUCUCACUCUGUCACCCAGGCUGGAAUGCAGUGGUGCGAUCUCACUCACUGCAAGCUCCACCUCCCAGGUUCACGCCAUUCUCCUGCCUCAGCCUCCUGAGUAGCUGGGACUACAGGCGCCUGGAUAAUUUUUUUGUAUUUUUAGUAGAGAUGGGGUUUCACCGUGUUAGCGAGGAUGGUCUCGAUCUCUGGACCUCGUGAUCCACCCACCUCAGCCUCCCAAAGUGCUGGGAUUACAGGCGUGAGCCACCACGCCCAGCCUUUUAACUUUUUAAUUUACUCAUUCUAUUGAUUUGUCUUUCUAGUUAAAAAAUAAAAAAAUAAAUCUUCUCCAGGGAGCAUGUGUCAGGAGGGAAAAGAGUCCCUUGUGUGUUAAGCCCUACUGGCUAGGGUUAAAAGCUGAGUUGCUUGUGUGAACUUGACCUUGAGCAUGAUCCCCAAAUGAUAGUUGUCUCUACGUGAGUGGUCUUUAUCUGGCCUCCUCCUCUCUUAGCACUGACCAGGCUAUAUCUGUGGCUAAGACCUAGAGGAAAAGACUUGGGUUAGCCUGUGAAGCAGAGCAGCUGAGCUAGGAAUUCUAAGAAUGGGGGACAAAAGAAAAAAAAAGGUAGGGAAGGUGGAGGGGGCACUUCUUUCCUCAGGUCUGCUGUUAUGGUACAGCCUCCUGAAUUUGAGUUUCUCAAGUAGUCAGGGCUAGGCUCAAGUUGUCAGGGCUAGGCUAAGGGCAAACUGAGGCUAGAGUCAGUAAAGUGAUCUGCCUAUGGUCUUACAAUUACUGGGCAGUAGAUGGUUUACAUUUAGAGGCAGCAUCAACAACCCUGUAGUAUCAGUUAGAAUUCUGGUGGGGAAAAAGAGGAGAAUUUAAUGAAGGGAUUAUUUAUCAAGCUAUGGACAGGAUUUAGGGGAACUAACAAAGGAAGGUGCAAUACUUUAAGCUUAAUCACAUUGAAGAGGCAUUACCCUCCCUAAAUCCAAAGGGUCAAGAGGAAGGAAUAGUUAGGAGAAUCCACAGAGAGUACCUGUAAGGAGAGGGCCUCCCAAUAGGAUGGUGACAGUGCAACUUUUGGUAGAGGGGCAAAACUAAUUCACAGUGAUUUGACAGGAAAGGAUCUAGGGGAAUAAACAUCCUUUCUGUCUUGUAGUUUCCUGUUUGUGUCUCUUUUUGCCUGAGCACAACUAGAAACUAGAGGUCAAUGGUGCCCCAUUGAUGCAAUCUAGACAGGUUGACAGGCCAAAGGGUGGCGAGUGAAUCUGGAGAGCAAAUGUAAGAUAGCCAGCCACCUGGGAACACAGAUGAGAUUUGUUUGUAGUAAUUUCCAAAAUUUUUUGCCUCUGUCUCCAUUGCCAUACCUGUUCCUGCAUGGCUUGCAGAUGCUAGAGUUUUUCUGCUGCUUCCUUAUAUCUUGGAACCCCCAGCCAGGUUAUCAGGUCUAGUUUCUGGGCCUGCCUGCUAUCAUUCAUCAUUUCUUUAUCAAAACCUGUUCUUAAGAUUUUUGCUUCUGGCCAUGACAAAGCAACAGGAUCCAGAUUUACCCUCCCCCUGUAUCCCUUGGGAUUUGAAGCCAAAGAGGAUGACCCCGCAGGCCUGGAUGAAAAAUAUAGAGGUUGGCCUGGCCAACAUGGUGAAACCCUGUCUCUACCAAAACUAGAAAACAACAAAAUAAAUGUACUGACGGCUUCAGAUAUUGUACAACACACAGUGCAGAACUAUGACCCAUGAGAUAAAGAAAAUACAUGUGGUAAAUGAUCAUGACAGUUUCUGAUUGGAGGCACAUUCUGGACUUUACAGCAGGGGAAACAAUAUCCCAAGCACAGUAUGGUAGUCUUGUUAAGUUAAAAUACAGAAAUGAAGGUCAAGGAGACUGUAGUUGGAAACUGUGGGGCAGAAUUCUAGAAAAGAGGGGACCAUGUAAAAAAAGCUCCAGAAAUCUGCACAAGUGCCCUGUUGAGUGCUUAAUACUAAGAUGUUCAUACCCAGAGUGAAGCUUUGUAAGUCUGGGCAAAGAAUGACCAGAAGCUAUAAGCUGAAAAUUUCAGAGUUCACAUGGGAUUCUGAGAUGUAAAAAUAUCAACCAGCUUGAUCAGCUGGGGCAUUUAGUAGAGAUCCAAUGAGGUUCAUAUGCAGAUAGUAAGACUGAACUAUCCCUAGAAUAAAAGAAACGUUAGGUUCAUUCUAACAAAGCUAAAAACAAGCCUCUAAAGGAAUAAUCUUAUCCAUAAGUAACUGCCUGCUGGAUAAAAACUCAAUACUCCUUAAAGGAGGAUUUAAAAAUAUACAAACAUUCAACAAUGUAACCUUUAAAAUAUCCAACAUCUAAGCAAAAAUUACUAGACUCACCAGGUAGCAGAAAAAUGUGACCCAUAUCAGGAAAAAAGGCAAUUAAUAGAAACAUGCCUGAAAAUGACAGAGUUGAAAAGACAGAAUGAACAGACAGGCACGUUAAAACAGCUGUUUAAGUAGGCAAAAUAUACUCCAGGAUUUUAAGAAAAACAUACAUAAAAUGAGGAAAGAAUGCACUUCUUGUGGUGGAAAAGACAAUAUCUGAAAUGAAAGGUCAGUGGCUGAAAUUCAAAGCAAACUAGAUGCUACAAGGAGAAAAGUAAAACUGAAAACAGCAAUAGGAACUAUCCAAAAUGAAGCACCAAGAGGAAGAAGACUUCAAAAACAAAACAAAACAAAACAAAAAACCCAGAAAUGAACAAAGUCCCAUCAAUCCUUGAGCAAUAUCAAGUGGUCUAACAUAUGUAUAAUUGAAAAAGAAAAAAGAGGGAGAACAAAUUUUUGACAAAAAUCAAGGCUGAAAAUUUUCCAAAUUUGUUAAAAACUAUAAAUACCACAGAUCCAGGAAUCACAAUGAACCCCAAUCAAAAUAAGCAAGGGAAAUCACACCAUCAUACCAAAGUACAUCAUAAUAAAUUACUAAAAUUAGUAAUAAAGAGAAAAUCUUAAAAGUAGUCUGAAAAAAGCUGUAUUUUAUAGUGUCAUAGAGAGUAUAGGAAAUACUGCAGACUUCUGAUCAAAACAAUGCAAGCCAGAAGACAAUGGAAUACUUUCUUUGAUAUACUGAAUGAUACACAAAUCAAAUUCUGUAUCCAGCGAUAUAAUGAAGACUUUUUGAGAUAAAUGAAAGCUUAGACAAUUCACCAUCAGCAGAUCUACCCUAAAGAAAUGUUAACAUAAGUUUUUUACAAAGAAGGAAAAUAAUACUUGGAUCUACACAAAAGAAUGAAGAGCACCAGAAAUGGGAAACAUGAGGAUAAAUAUUAAAAUUUUUCAUUAAAAAUUUCUUUAAAAUAUUAAAGCAAAAAUAAUAAAGUACUGUAGAGUUCAUAACAUAUGCAGAAAUAAAAUUUAUAGCAGCAAUAGCACAAAGGACAAGAGCAUGUAGCUAAAAGUCAAUGGUCUAGAUAAAAUGAAAUAACAAAAAAGAACCCUCACUUCAAAAGAAGGCAAGGAAAGAUGCAAAAGGUAACAAAGAACAGAUGGAAUGAGUAGAAAACAAAUAGUAAGAUGACAUACCUAAACCAAACAUGUAUGUUACAUGUACUUGUAAUUAAAUGCAAAUGGUCCAAAUACCCCAAUUAAAGGUCAGGCACUAUCAGACUGGAUUUAAAAAGCAAGAAAUUCAUUUUAAAUAUAAAAACACAAAUAGUUUAAAAGUAAAAGAAUGAAAAAAGAUAUGCUGUGCAAUGCUUAUCACAAGAGAGCUGGAGUAGCUAUAUUAAUAAUAAAAAAAGAAGACUUUAGGACAAGGAAUAGCACCAGAGAUAAAGAGAGACAAUUUCAUAGUGACAAAAAGGAAAAUUUAAGCCAGGUGCAGUGGCUCACGCCUGUAAUCCCAGCACUUUGGGAGGCUGAGGCAGGCAGAUCAUGAGGUCAGGACAUCGAGACCAUCCUGGCUAACACAGUGAAACCCCAUCUCUAAUAAAAAUACAAAAAAUUAGCUGGGCGUUGUGGUGGACGCCUGUAGUCCCAGCUACUCGGGAGGCUGAAGCAGGAGAAUGGUGUGAACCCGGGAGGCAGAGCUUGCAGUGAGCAGAUAUCACGCCACUGCACUCCAGCCUGGGCGACAGAGCGAGACUCCGUCUCAAAAAAAAAAAAGAAAAAUUUAAGAAGAUUUAACAAUUCUAAAUGUUUCUGUACCUGCUAACAGAACUUCAUAAUAUAUGAAUCAAAAACUGACAAAAGUUAAAGAGGAAAUAGACAAAACCACAGUCAUAGUUUGAAUAUAUACAUUUCAUCAUUCCUCUCUCAAGAAUUAAUAAAACAAAUAGUCAGAAAAAUCAGUAAACCAGUAAGGAUACAGAUGAUCCCAGCACUUUGGGAGGCCAAGGCGGGUGGAUCACAAGGUCAAGAGAUCGAGACCAUCUUGGCCAACAUGGUGAAAUCCCAUCUCUACCAAAAAUACAAAAAUUAGCUGGGCCUGGUGGCAUGCAGCUGUAGUCCCAGCUACUUGGGAGGCUGAGGCAGGAGAAUCGCUUGAACCCAGGAGGCGGAGGUUGCAGUGAGCUGAGAUCAUGCCAGUGCACUCCAAGAAAGCUAGGUCAAUUGCUCAUAUGACUAGCAUUUCUACUCCUAGGUAUGUACCCAAGAGUAUUGAAAAUCCAUGUCCACACACACUGUAUAUGAAUGUUCAUAGCAGCAUUAUUCAUUUUAGCCAGAAAGUGGAAACAACUCAAAUGUGCAUCAACUGAUGAACAGAUAAACAAAAUGUGGUUUAUCCAUACCAUGGAAUAUUAUUCAGCUAUGAAAACAAAUGACAUUCCAAUACAUGCUACAACAUGGAUGAACCUUGAAAACACUAUGCUCACUGAAAGAAGCCAAACACAAAAGGUCACAUAUUGUAUAAUUCCAUUUAUAUGAAAUGUCCAGAAUAAGCAAAUCCAUAGAGAUGGAUAGUAGAAUAGUGGUUGCCAGAGGAAAGGGGAAGGAGGAAUGGGGAGUGACUGCCAAUGCAUAUGGAGACUCUUUUGGGGGUGAUGAAAAUAUUCGGAACUAGAUAAUGGUGAUAAUUGCACAAUUUUGUGAAUAUACUAAAAAUCAUGGAAUUGUACACUUUAAGAGGGUGAAUUUUAUGGUAUGUCAAUUAUAUCUCAAUUAAAAAAAUAAGUAUUUGGUAUAAAUGAUUUUAUGCCCCAGUGUUGAUAAUGGAUAAAGGCUUAAUGAGAGACUCUUCUCAGCAAUAUGGUUCAACUCAGACCAACUCCUCCCUACAAAGGCUACAGAAUCUAUUUUUUCAAAAAGUCCAGCUCUUAGGACCUUUGUUCUUAGCUGUGGUUGCUACCAGGCUGCCUCUGAGGCCUGAAAAAUCGUGUCAUAGGCAGUAGAGGUUGAAUUUUGUAUUUUAGUAUCUAUGCUUACUUUCCUGCAGUAUGAGUUCUUUAAAGUCUAUUGCUAACUUGCACUCAUAGGCUGAAUUGAAAGAAUAAAGGAUCACAGUGAGGCACUUUACAGUUUAUAAAAAAGCAUGUUCACAUUCACCACUCUUUUGAUUUUACGCAUUUAGAUUUAAAUUGGGCGUUCUGAAUGGCCACACAACAGCAGGCCCUAAACUCUAGCCCCAACCUCUCUGACUCCAAAAAUCGAGUCAUUCUUAAAACAACUAAAAUGUGCUUCUGAGCAAGUUAUGGAGAAAUGGGCUGCCACUCGCCCUCCCAAGAAUAUUAUGAAGGCUCUUAGCCAUUUAAGGAACAACUUCUGGCCAGGCAGGGUGGCUCACGCCUGUAAUCCCAGCACUUUGGGAGGUCAAGGCGGGUGGAUCACAAAGUCAGGAGAUCGAGACCAUCCUGGCUAACACGGUGAAACCCCAUCUCUACUAAAAAUACAAAAAAACUAGCCGGGUGUGGUGGUGGGCUCCUGUAGUCCCAGCUACUCAGGAAGCUGAGGCAGGAGAAUGGCAUGAACCUGGGAGGCAGAACUUGCAGUGAGCUGAGAUCGUGCCACUGCACUCCAGCCUGGGUGACAGAGUGAGACUCCAUCUCAAAAAAAAAAAAAGAAAAAAAGAACAACUUCCACUAACAAUCUUUUUUUUUUUGAGACAGAGUUUUGCUAUUGUUGCCCAGGCUGGAGUGCAAUGGUGUGAUCUUGGCUCACUGCAACCUCCACCUCCUGGGUUCAAGCAAUUCUCCUGUCUCAGCCUCCCAAGUAGCUGGGAUUACAGGCGUGAGUCACCAUGCCUGGCUAAUUGUUUUGUAUUAUUAGUAUAGACAGGGUUUCACCAUGUUGGGCAGGCUGGUCUUGAACUCCUGACCUCAGGUGAUCUGCCCACCUUGGCCUCCCAAAGUGCUGGGAUUACAGGCGUGAGCCACCACGCCUGGCCUCCACUAACAAUCUUAUAUUGGUCUGCAUUAUGCAGAAUGACCUGGACUAUUAGUCAUGGGGCAGGCCCAGAUGUUAAAUAGCUUGGUCCAGUAUGCUCACCUCAUUAACCAUGUGGUUUGUGGGUCCAUUUUCACUCCUGCAGGGACACACACACACAAACACACCUCUCUUUACAGCAAGAUAAAGAGUCACCUAUCUUUUCCCAGCAGUGCUCUGACCAGGGCUGAGUUCCCACUUGCAUUUCCUUCCUCCCUCUCUCCCUCCCCCUUCCUCCCUUCCCCUCUCCCUCCUUCCUUCCCUCCCUUCCUUCCUUCUUUCCUUUUUUCCUUCCUUUUUAUGGUCAAAUAUACGUAACAUAAAAUUUAUCACUGUAACCAUUUUUAACUGUACUGUUUAGGGGUGUUAAGUACAUUCUCACUGAUGUCCAGCCAUCACCAUUAUCUAUCUCCACAACUUCUUCAUCUUGAAAAACAGAAACUUUGUAUCCAUAAAACAUUAACUCCCCGUUCCCCUCUCUCCACCCCAACCUCUGGUAAUCACCACUCUACUUUCUGUCUCUGUGAAUUUGACUCCUCUAGGUACCUCAUGUAAGUGGAAUCACACAAUAUUUGUCCUUUGGCCACUUGUAUUCCUUGAUGGCAAAGAGUCAUCUUGUUCCAGAGCUGGCCCAUAGGACCAGGUGUUUCAUGUGGUAGCCGGGAAGGAUAGCAAGAGGAAGGAUAGCAGAUUCUGGAGUGCAAACACAUCCCCAGACAGAAUCAGGAGGGCUCCCCUCAUCCUGUCGACAGCUGGAAAUUCUUUCUGCUCUUCUACAAGUUGAGUGUUACAAACAGGAGACUUUUCAAGCCCAGUCCCAAACACAGGAAUUCGUCCCUCGUCAGUCUGUCUCCUGGGCCCCAUUGAGACAGCUGGACUUCCCACGCAAGUGAAAGCAUUCAACUGGGAGUGCCUUUUCCUGGGUCAGCCUGUUCCAGCUUACCCUUGAAGGAGACCAUCAGCUCCUUAAGAGCAACAGCUAUUUUUCUGUCCCAAGUUGUGUAGAAUGCAGUGUAGAGCACUUUUAAAAUGUCCAUUUUGGCUAUUAGCAGCAAUCAAUGCAAUCUAUACCAGCUCAGGUUGGCAUGAUAAUUUUAUUUACUUAGCCAGUCCUUUGAAAUUCACAGCAAGGAUAUGAGCCUUAUGCAUGAUCCUCCCACUGGUUUUCGUACAGGUGAAUGAACCGAUUCCUUAUUGCUGAAAAAAAAAAAUCUUACACUGGACUUGGAGUCAGGCCACAGCUAGACUGGAAGCAAGGAGACUGGAAAGCAAACGUGGACCUGACAGGCUCUGUCAUGUCCCAGGCCUAAUCUGGUGGGAGUCCUGAGAACAGCCUGUGCUGUGUGUGCCCAGGUGCAAAGAAUAUGUAAACCUUUCUCAAGUGAAAAAGCUUAGCUUUUUCCAAAUUCCCAUUUGAGACUGCCUGUGCGACUGCACAGUGUGCACACUCAUGCAGAUAGGUGGAGUCCUAUUCAACUUCUACAAAACACACUAAUUUGUUGAUUUGUUUUAUUUCUAUAUGGUACCUUUCCUCCUAG
rnacentral:lncRNA from 10 species